rnacentral:rRNA from 1 species
AUUGAACGCUGGCGGCAGGCUUAACACAUGCAAGUCGAGCGGGGGAAGGUAGCUUGCUACCGGACCUAGCGGCGGACGGGUGAGUAAUGCUUAGGAAUCUGCCUAUUAGUGGGGGACAACAUCUCGAAAGGGAUGCUAAUACCGCAUACGUCCUACGGGAGAAAGCAGGGGAUCUUCGGACCUUGCGCUAAUAGAUGAGCCUAAGUCGGAUUAGCUAGUUGGUGGGGUAAAGGCCUACCAAGGCGACGAUCUGUAGCGGGUCUGAGAGGAUGGUCCGCCACACUGGGACUGGAACACGGCCCAGACUCCUACGGGAGGCAGCAGUGGGGAAUAUUGGACAAUGGGGGGAACCCUGAUCCAGCCAUGCCGCGUGUGUGAAGAAGGCCUUAUGGUUGUAAAGCACUUUAAGCGAGGAGGAGGCUACUUUAGUUAAUACCUAGAGAUAGUGGACGUUACUCGCAGAAUAAGCACCGGCUAACUCUUUGCCAGCCGCCGCAGUAA